rnacentral:rRNA from 1 species
GGUUGAUCCUGCCAGUAGUCAUAUGCUUGUCUCAAAGAUUAAGCCAUGCAUGUCUAAGUAUAAACAACUUUAUACUGCGAAACUGCGUACAGCUCAUUAAAUCAGUAAUUAUUUAUUUGAUGGUACCUUUCUACAUGGAUACCCGUAGUAAUUCUAGAGCUAAUACAUGCACCAAAAUCCCGACGCAAGAAGGGAUGUAUUUAUUAGAUAAAAAACCAAUGGCCUUCUGGGUCUAUUUGGUGAUUCAUAGUAACUGAUCGAAUCGUGACGGCCUCGUGCUGACGAUAGUUCAU